rnacentral:rRNA from 1 species
CAGCCGCCGCGGUAAAACGUAGGGCGCAAGCGUUAUCCGGAAUUAUUGGGCGUAAAGAGCUCGUAGGCGGUUUGUCGCGUCUGCCGUGAAAGUCCGGGGCUCAACCCCGGAUCUGCGGUGGGUACGGGCAGACUAGAGUGAUGUAGGGGAGACUGGAAUUCCUGGUGUAGCGGUGAAAUGCGCAGAUAUCAGGAGGAACACCGAUGGCGAAGGCAGGUCUCUGGGCAUUAACUGACGCUGAGGAGCGAAAGCAUGGGGAGCGAACAGGAUUAGAUACCCGUGUAGUCCCUGUCUCUUAUAC